AACGAACGCUGGCGGCAUGCCUAACACAUGCAAGUCGAACGAGACCUUCGGGUCUAGUGGCGCACGGGUGCGUAACGCGUGGGAACCUGCCCUUAGGUUCGGAAUAACUCCCCGAAAGGGGUGCUAAUACCGGAUAAUGUCUUCGGACCAAAGAUUUAUCGCCUUUGGAUGGGCCCGCGUUGGAUUAGCUAGUUGGUAGGGUAAAAGCCUACCAAGGCGACGAUCCAUAGCUGGUCUGAGAGGAUGAUCAGCCACACUGGGACUGAGACACGGCCCAGACUCCUACGGGAGGCAGCAGUGGGAAAUAUUGGACAAUGGGCGAAAGCCUGAUCCAGCAAUGCCGCGUGAGUGAUGAAGGCCUUAGGGUUGUAAAGCUCUUUUACCCGGGAUGAUAAUGACAGUACCGGGAGAAUAAGCUCCGGCUAACUCCG
rnacentral:rRNA from 1 species